UCCUAUUUAUCAUUAUAAAAAAAAAAAAAAUACUUUUAAAAAUUAAAAAAAAAACCAUUGAAUAAACCCUAAUAUUAAUAUUGGGAUUAAAGCCUCAUUUAAAUAUCGAACAUAUUAUUUAAAUAAACGUAUAGUUGGCUAUAAUGAAUAUUUUUUAAAAGUUAAAAAACGUUUUUGUAAAAUAUAUAUGCUGUUAAAUAGAAAACGAGGAUUGGCAGAAAAGUCAGGGCUUAGUCUUUAAAGUUAAUUUAUUGUCAUACUUUUUUUUACACAUGCAAUUCACGUAUGCUUUUAUCAUCACGACCUACUCGAUAUAUGUGUGUGUAUAUAGGUAUUAUUUUUUUUUUAGUAGGUGACCUGACAUGACUCUGUUGGAAUAGAAAUCAUUAUUUCCACGCCAACAAUUGUCAGACGCCGGUCUAUUGGCAUCGAUCCAAUAUUAUCGAUUCUCCAAAGUCACACAACCAAUAAUCGGUUUCAAAGACCAUUGGGUAUAGCUAAUAGUCCCGGAUAAUACGAGAUAAUCUAUAGCUGAAUAGACUCCCAAAAAUCAUUUUAAAAAUUCGAUAAUCGGCUAACUCUGACGAGCAAAAUAAUUUUAAAAAAUAUUAUGGAUAAAAAAAUUCUAUCUUGAAAAUAAAUAAUAGUAUUUACAAGUUUGAGGUAAAAAUUAAUCUUUACGUGACAAGAGAAAGGAUCAACCAUCAAACUGUAUGACUAUUCACCUGCUGCCGUCAUUGAAAAAAAGAAUGCCGAGGAUAAGUACCAGUAAUAUAAGAAUAAAAAUAUGAAUGAAGGUAAAAAAGGGUUCCGCAUCAUCAUCCCCAUAGCUUUGCUGACGCUACGUUGAAACACAUAUAUGUAUACCCUCGGUUAUACGAUGCAGAUAUGUAGGAUAGGAUCCCACUCCAAAAGCUGUCGCAAACAGAUUAUAAACGACGGGCGCGGUAUGAAAAAGCCGCAAAUUACAGCCAGCACCCGUCAAGUGAUAUGUACAUAUAUAUGCACUAACGCACUAACGGCGGCAGCGUCGACAUUGGCGAUGGCGUUGGCGUUAGCAUUGGCGUCGUCGUCAUUGGUCUCUUUCUACUUUCUUUACUCGUUUAAUCAUCGGUCUUUCUCAUGUUGCCUUGCUGGUAACUAUAAGACCAGAAGUAUGCUAUAUUGUGACCGGAUGAAGUACCUAUUUCCAUUUUAUUCGUUUAACUUAUAUACAUAUAUAUAUACAUCAUUACACCUCCUGACCCUCCUGACGCUUCUACAUCACGCAAUCACCAGCCUACGAUAUCUACCGAUCUGCCCAUAUUAUCAUCAUCAUCAUCACCACCCCGUACAUAUUAAUAUAUAUAUAUUAAUUUGAUCGACUUAACGACUAUUGAUCAAUACGCACGUAUUAAAUAUAAUACUGUAUUAUUUAUCUAUAAAAAAAAAUGUAAUACAGUAAAUAAAUGAUGAAUAUACUUUUGUCAUCAAUAAUGAAACUGGAAUGAUAAUUUUUUAAAUAAAAAUAUUUUUUA